rnacentral:rRNA from 1 species
GACGAACGCUGGCGGCGCGCCUAACACAUGCAAGUCGAACGGAGUCAAGAGGAGCUUGCUUUUCUUGACUUAGUGGCGAACGGGUGAGUAACGCGUGAGUAACCUGCCCUGGAGUGGGGGACAACAGUUGGAAACGACUGCUAAUACCGCAUAAGCCCACGGAUCCGCAUGGAUCUGCGGGAAAAGGAUUUAUUCGCUUCAGGAUGGACUCGCGUCCAAUUAGCUAGUUGGUGAGGUAACGGCCCACCAAGGCGACGAUUGGUAGCCGGACUGAGAGGUUGAACGGCCACAUUGGGACUGAGACACGGCCCAGACUCCUACGGGAGGCAGCAGGGGGGGAUAUUGCACAAUGGGGGAAACCCUGAUGCAGCGACGCCGCGUGGAGGAAGAAGGUUUUCGGAUUGUAAACUCCUGUCGUUAGGGACGAUAAUGACGGUACCUAACAAGAAAGCACCGGCUAACUACGUG